GACGAACGCUGGCGGCGUGCUUAACACAUGCAAGUCGAACGAAGUGGCGAACGGGUGAGUAACGCGUAAUCAACCUGCCCUUCUGAGGGGGACAACAGUUGGAAACGACUGCUAAUACCGCAUACUGAAGGAGGGGCUUGCGUCCGAUUAGCUAGUUGGAGGGGUAAAGGCCCACCAAGGCGAUGAUCAGUAGCCGGUCUGAGAGGAUGACCGGCCACAUUGGGACUGAGACACGGCCCAGACUCCUACGGGAGGCAGCAGUGGGGAAUCUUCCGCAAUGGACGAAAGUCUGACCGAGCAACGCCGCGUGAGUGAUGACGGCCUUCGGGUUGUAAAACUCUGUUAUUAGGGAAGCGGUACCUAAUCAGAAAGCCACGGCUAACUACGUGCCAGCAGCCGCGGUAAUUC
rnacentral:rRNA from 1 species